rnacentral:lncRNA from 1 species
UUUUUUCUUAAAUUUAGAUAUGACACGCGAUGCCACGAAAGUGGUUGAAAUCUUAUUGGAAAGCUAAGUCAAUAAUGAAGUGUGGAGGAUUAGAUUAACAAAGCAUAUAUAUAGGUUGAUUGAAUAAUAUUUUCGCAUGAAUAAUAUAUUUUGAGUUUUCGGGGUCAGAAUUGGGCCAGACAGUGGCGAAGCUACAGAGGGGCAAGGAGGGGCGACCGCCCCUCCACUCGCCUGAAAUCAAACCCAGAAGUGGUGGUUCCGCCCCUCUGAUCCCGCCGGAAGUAAUGGCUGCUCAUGGAGCUGUAUGGUGUUCUGGGUUUCUGUAGCUGCUGUGCAGCAGUGUUCUAACUUUUCUUCUUUUCUGAAAAAUCCCUAAAUGAAACGACGCCGAUUCUUUUAGUGAUUAAAUAAAAAAUUUAAAACAGUCCUCAAGUAAACGACGCCGUCCAUUUAGUUGGUUGUUAAAAAUAAUAAUUAAAGGGUGACCACUAGUUCCCCGUUACCUCUGCCUUCACAGCGUUCAGGCAUUAUACAAUUCACUUGCAGCUGCAGGCUGCCAAAUCUUUGUUCUACCAUUGGAGAGGGCGACAAUCAACAACAAAGGCUGCAAGAGUCUCUCCCGCGCCACCGCCGUCCACCCAUUUGAGCACCAUGUGCCAUCCCUUAUUUAUUGUCAUUUGCAUAAUUUAAAUUAAUUGAUGAUUUGAGAUCUCUGUGAGAUGGGUUUUGUAUGAUUUAGUGUGAAUUUAUCUGGGUUUAGUGCUAAUUGUGGUUUUCCAGGUUGAAUUUGUUCUCUCUAGAUUGAAUGGGGCAUUCUGUUGUUUUGAGUAAGUUUGGAUGGAAUCGGAGCUAUUCGGUAUUUUUUUUUUGAAACAAAG